rnacentral:rRNA from 1 species
UACGUAGGGUGCAAGCGUUGUCCGGAAUUAUUGGGCGUAAAGAGCUCGUAGGCGGCUUGUCGCGUCGGCUGUGAAAACCCGGAGCUCAACUCCGGGCCUGCAGUCGAUACGGGCGGACUCGAGUUCGGCAGGGGAGACUGGAAUUCCUGGUGUAGCGGUGAAAUGCGCAGAUAUCAGGAGGAACACCGGUGGCGAAGGCGGGUCUCUGGGCCGAUACUGACGCUGAGGAGCGAAAGCGUGGGGAGCGAACAGG